AGUCAAAGAGCUUGAAAAAGCUUAUAUUUUGAAAAUAUAAGAAAGAAUAAAAUUUCUUUUGAUUU
rnacentral:tRNA from 1 species